AGCAGCCGCGGUAAUUCCAGCUCCAAUAGCGUAUAUUAAAGUUGUUGCAGUUAAAAAGCUCGUAGUUGAAUUUCGGGGUUAGCAGGUCGGUCGUGCCAUUGGUAUGAACUGGUCUCGCUGAUCCCUCCCUCUUGACGAACUGUGAUGCCAUUAAUUUGGUGUCGCAGGGAAUCAGGACUGUUACUUUGAAAAAUUAGAGUAGUUUAAAGCAGGCUCACGCUUGAAUACAUUAGCAUGGAAUAAUGAAAUAGGACGUUUGAUCCUAUUUUGUUGGCUUCUAGGAUUGACGUAAUGAUUAAUAGGGAUAGUUGGGGGCAUUAGUAUUCAAUUGUCAGAGGUGAAAUUCUUGGAUUUAUUGAAGACUAACUACUUGCGAAAGG
rnacentral:rRNA from 1 species